GCGGAAGUGACGGUGAUCCGCUGGCAAUGGCGGGUUCUUUGGCCUGCGCUAAGAGGGUGAGGUGUAGUGGGCUCUUCGUGUUUCUGGAGAAGUUAUUUUAAUAAAGGCUCGAGAACUCUGUUCUGUCACCAUGGACACGGGAUGUCGUUUAGACACUUAUUGUUUUGGGGGUCUCCUUUUCCUGCUCGAAAUAUGAGGUUUCUCUUGGCGUUUUAGCUUUGUGCCAUAGCUACAGCCUCUGACUAGUGCCCACACUGGAGCAAAGAGGUACAUGGAGAGUUUCUUGCCUUUUGGGAAGUCUGAGGUCUUCUGCCAGCGUUCUGUAGGAGUUGUUCCACACGUCGAUGUAUUUUUGAUGUAUUUGUGUGGAGGAAGGUGAUCUCCACGUCUUACUCCUCUGCCAUCUUGAAGGUCCCCUCCUAUUGUUAUUGAAAGGGAAAAAAACUCUACCAAUCGGUACAGCAGUUCACAGGCAGAGCUAUUCAGAAUAAAGGAAUGGGUGCUGUUAACGUUGAUGUCAAUAUGAUACUUGGAUGGCAUUUGGCAAGACGACUCCGGAGUAUCCAAAUCCUUCCCUGUCUUGGUCAUUCUUCCUUGAGAAUGCCUCAAAGAAAGCGUGUGUGCAGGAUACAUUGACCAGCAGAGCAUAGUGACAUCACAUUGGAAUGACUUCUGGGACUUCUUUCCCAAACUCAAAGCAGAGCCAGUGGGAGUCAACCAGAGUUCCACAAAAGUUCCCUCAUUUGUAUCUACUGGAAUGGCUUCAGUGGUGUGGAAGCAAAGAAGGCCGAAAGUCUUGUUCUGACCAUUUCUACCACGAUAUCCAUUUCACAUUUGGAUCUUACUAUCUCAUGUGGUGAAAAUUCACUCACCAGUGCCAAGGUGUGAGACAUAAGGACAGCUGAAGACAGAGAGUCUGUCCCAAUGUCUUAAUGUGCCCUGCCUGGGCCCUCUUGAUUUAGCUGCCUUGUGGAAGAGAAAGAGCAGAUGAAGAGAUAAAGAAAGAGAAAGGAGAGAAGAGAGAGAGAGGACCAAGCUUUCCCUUGGGGAGAACAGGUCCUAAGCUUAGCCUUACUUCGUCAGGUCAGAGAGUCCAGACAGACAAAAAUGGAAGAGUUAGGCAUCAUUUUUCUUCCCUUAUUACCAUCGUAACAUCUUAGGAGGAAGAGAACUGGAAGGGUAAGACUUCACACAGUGUGUGACCUUGACCUCUAUAAACAGUACACUGAUCUAAUUCAGAGACCAGAGUCUGAUCAUCCAGAUCAACAAUGGGUUGAGUUGGGCUUUGGGGGACAGCAGGAGUGAAUAAAACCGAGAAUUCCUCAGAGAGGCCAGCAGGACCGUUAUUUUGAUGUCAGCCUUUGAAGUGGUCACUGUGCCUAAUUCAAAAUUUCGAGGUCUCAGGUCCUCAUGUUUUAGUGAAGAGCAAGUCUAAAUUAUACUUGCUGUGUAAAAAUUUUACUGAUGGCCCUGGUAUUGCCUUAUCGUCUCAACUGCUGAGGCACUUUUUG